rnacentral:rRNA from 1 species
UGGGGAAUAUUGCACAAUGGGGGAAACCCUGAUGCAGCGACGCCGCGUGAGCGAUGAAGGCUUUCGAGUCGUAAAGCUCUGUCCUAUGGGAAGAUAAUGACGGUACCAUAGAAGAAAGCCCCGGCUAAUUACGUGCCAGCAGCCGCGGUAAUACGUAAGGGGCGAGCGUUGUCCGGAAUUAUUGGGCGUAAAGAGUGCGUAGGCGGCAAAUUAAGUCAGAUGUGAAAACUAAGGGCUCAACCCAUAGAUUGCAUCUGACACUGAUAUGCUUGAGUCAAGGAGAGGAAAGUGGAAUUCCUAGUGUAGCGGUGGAAUGCGUAGAUAUUAGGAGGAAUACCGGUGGCGAAGGCGACUUUCUGGAAUUGAACUGACGCUGAGGCACGAAAGCGUGGGGAGCAAACAGG